rnacentral:sRNA from 1 species
CUCUAAAACGGCAAAGAAUUUCUAAACACUUGUUGAACAAAAUAUGUUUAAUAUCAAAAGAACUUUCGUAUGAUGCCAAGAAAAAGGGGCUGGCCCUUCAAUUUAGGGGCCAAAAGGGCUCUAAAGUCUUUCUUUAAUAACACUAUACUGAAAAAUAUUUUGUUAUAUGUUUUAGAAGCAAAAAUGUUUAUCUUUCACUAAUAAAACUAUACAUUAU